rnacentral:lncRNA from 1 species
AAACAACUGAAGGAUAUUGAGAAUGUGACUAUUUAUAGACAAAAAUCGAUUUCCGUCGACGAAAAAUGAAAAGGAGAAUUCUUCGAAAACGUUGAUGGCGGUUACCUAAUUUCUAGAGGUAUGAAAAACGUAUUAAACUAGUUAUAUAAUAUAAUGAUGCAUCUAUCAACCCAUCAAUCCGGUUCUUUCAAACAAUCUAUUGACCCAUUAUUUUUCCUAUCUGUUUGUCUGUCUGCAUGCCUGUCUGUUAGUCCACAAUGCAAUAGGUUUUAGUAUUCUAUAGAACAGUAAUUGGUUACUAAGUACAGUAUUUAGCAUUAAUAAGUAUGAAUAAAUUGUUCGUGUGUCUGCAUUUGAUGUAAAUUAUUUUGGUAAAAAUGAAUUACAUUUAGAUGUUAUCGUCUUUGAAGAAAAUUCGAUUAUUCACUGCACGUACAUAAAUGCAUUUUUUCUUUUUACCCCGACUUCGUCUUUCAUAAGAUUAGCCAAGAAAGUGAGCCAAAAGAAAGAAAUGAUGAUAGGUGUGGCGGCGGUAGAAGGUGAAAAAGGAAAUGAGAGAGAGAAAAAAAUAAAACUAAAGAAUAGAAGAGGAAGAUAGAAGAACUAUGUGCAUAUAUUAAAUAUCAAUGUAUUAUACUUGGUUAAGUUAUGAGAUCUUUAAAGCACAUAAAUUGACCUCUAAAAAAAGGGAAGCAAAUUCCAUUUCAGUUUGUAAGAUAUUGUCUCCUUUAUUCCUUCAACUAUCUUGUAUGAAUGUUACACACACACACACACACACACACACACACACACACACACACACACACACACACACACACACAAUAAUAAAUGGCAAACACAGACAUACACACAUAUUACCGCGAACACACUAUCUUAAAGAUGGUGAGUUUAGCACUGAUAUUGAGUUUUGUGUAAAGUGAUAUACUCUUUUACUCUUUUACUUGUUUCAGUCAUUUGACUGCGGCCAUGUUGGAGCAGCACCUUUAGUCAAGCAAAUCGACCCCAGGACUUAUUCUUUCUAAGCCUAGUACUUAUUCUAUCGGUCUCUUUUGCCGAACCGCUAGGUUAAGGGAAUGUAAACACACUAGCAUCGGUUGUCAAGCAAUGUUGGGGGACAAACACAGACACACAAACACACACACACACACAUAUAUAUACAUAUUCAUAUAUACGACAUGCUUCUUUCAGUUUCCGUCUACUAAAUCCUCUCACAAGGCUUUGGUCGGCCCGAGGCUAUUUUAGAAGACACUUGCCCGAGGUGCCACGCAAUGGGACAGAACCCGGGUAUAUUAAAUAUAUUAAAUGGAUAUAUUAAAUAUAUUAAAAUAUUGUAAGAGUCAUUGAGUUAGCGAAUGAAUAUCGAUAACACUUCCAUUUACUUACUUGUCAUGGUUGCGUGGAAUACCAUAAUCCGCGUUGAAGUAAAAAGGUAAUGCUUUUAGGGUAAUUAGUUGGAACGAGGGAUCUGAACCAUGUAAUUUAAACCCCAAAUAUUCAUCAGACCGCCUCGACUCCUUCAAAGAAAAUCACAUUAGAUACAAAAUCCCAAUAAUCACAAACCUAAAUAUCACAAUUAACACUGGCCUAAGUUUGUGUUAAAUCAGUACAUUAAUAGCUAUCAUCCCUUCAGAAAACCGAAUGAUGAUACAUGCGGCCACAAAUUGCGGAAGAUUUUGCUGUAUUUAAGAUCUGAUUUGUUUUCGAUGAUAUCUGACCCACAGCAACAUUAAAUCUACAAUUCUGCAAUACACCUGAACUAUCUGGUCAUUGAGUUAACGUAUAGCUGGCUGAGUAUUCCGUAAUCACGUGCAUUCUUAACGCUACCCUCAGGUGUGAUAUGGUUGGAUGUUUAAAUUACAGGUACAAUCCAUCCGACGGUUUUUCGAACAGUAUUCCUCCUCUGAAUUCACCUACAAGGAUCUCGUCGGUCUUCGGCUAGAUUAAAAGCUAUUUGUUUAAGAUGUCAUGCAUGGCAUUCAGUCUGAGACCCCAUGAUUGCGCUGCGAACUUCUUAACCAUUCACUGUGUAUCCGCACGUGCGCGCGCGCACACACACACAAACACACACAUGCAUACAUUCUAUGCAUAAAUGUUGGUAUUUUUUAAUCAAUACCUCACCAUCAAUUCUGGUUUGGUGACAAUAUGUAUACACGUGUGUGUGUGUGCGUGUGUGUGUGUGUAUGUGCGCGUGCGUGUGUGUGUGUGUGUGUGUGUAGUAUAUAAAAAGUUCACAUUCACUUUCUCUCUCGUCCUCUCUCUCUCAAUAUAAACACACACAUACAUGUAUGCACACAUGCAUACAUACAUACAUGCAUACAUGCAUACAAACAUACAUUCGUACAUACAUACAUACACACACACAUACAUACAUGCAUACAUACAUACAUACAUACAUACAUACAUACAUACAUACAUACAUACACACACGCACACAUACAUACAUACAUACAUACAUACAUACAUACAUACAUACAUACAUACAUACAUACAUACAUACGUACAUACAUACAUUCAUAUAUCUUUGUAUGUUUGUAUGUAUAUGAAUAUGUCUAUGGUCACCAAGCAUUGGAUUGAUUGGCACAUGAAUUGUUAGAUUUCGAUAUCACUGAAUAAUAUUAUUACAUCAUCACAAUCAUGCUACAGACUCAUGAAUGAGUGUAAAAACGCGUGCACUUAACAUGUACCAAACGACAUGUGCAACUACAAUCAAGGACACUUCGUUACAUAUACACAUCCCUACUCCUCCUCUCCUCUUUAUUCAUUUUAAAUCAAUUUCCCUUUAUUGUUCAUUUGCUUUGCUUCAUAUGUAUACAUAUGCACAUUAUUGUAUGUCAUCACAAAUAAUUGAUUAUAAUAAUAUAAUAAUGAAAUUAUUGUAUACAGUGCUCAGGUGCACCACAACUUAUCAGGAUUAUUUAUAUAUUUAUGUUAUAAGACAUUCUUUUCUUAUGUAUAGUAAUCUGUUACUUGAACAACAGUAAAAGCGAAACUCUGAGUAACCACAAGACCAAUUGAUAACUAAAAAUCUGGACCGACCUUCCGGUAAGAAGUAGGUUCAUGUAACCUAACCAAAAACAUGCUUUCGUACCCGAAAAACUUAUUGAUAAUGACCUCAUUCACGGGCCCACUGAUUCUAAAUUCGCCAUACAUCUACAACCCAUACCCUAUAUUCUGUAUUAUGUGUUUUUUAGCUACAAGCCAUAGUUGUAGUCUGGAUUCUAUUCUCCAAACUUUUCGAUAAAACACCCACAUUACAUACUUCGGGCCCAGACACCCUACUCCAAUUAUAAUGGUCAUAUAAGCAUAUAUCUCUGUAUCUCGAGACCCUAGGUUCUCAUAAUGUCACAUGCUUAAGUCGUUAAUUGCUACACUAAGUUUAUGCAUCCAAUAUUUAUAUAUUUACCCCUUAAUGCAUUUACGAAGUUUUGAAGUUGCUGCCACAACAUAUGUUACAUCGUUUACAAUUGUUUCAACAACAUGCAAAUGGCCAAUCGAACACGGGUGAGAAAAAUGAUAUAGUCAUGCUCUCCAUGUAAUGUCUAUUAUAUGAUAGUCUCUGCAGUCAUUUAAUUAUAACCGAACGAACGAAUGUAAUACGUGAAUGCUUCCUGAGGCAAAAGCCUGGAUUAUCGGAUCCCUUAUCACUUGCUAUACAUGCAUGCAUGCAUACUUACCUACCUACCUACCUACCUACCUACCUACCUACCUACCUACCUACCUAUCUAUCUAUAUAUCUACAUGCAUACAUACAUGAAUAAACAUAUAUAAAUAUAUGUGUGUGUAUUUAUAUGCAUACAUAAAUAAAUACACAUCCACUCACGCUCAAACAUACAUAUAACACAUGAAGUAAGCUCCAUAUAUUAAAGGACAGAAGUACUCACAGUAAGGCUUAUUAAUCUAUCGCGUUACUCAGAGUUUCAUGAUAUCGAGUUUUUAAUCGAAUAUUAAGACGACUUCGCCUACUAAUGUCUUUGAUGUCGUCCACCGUUUAAUAUUCAAUAUACAUACAUAUAUUAUAAACUGUAUUUUCUGGUUCAUGUAAAUACAUGUCUCAAGAUUAACUGUUUUUAUCUCUCUUACUCUCUUUCUUCUCCCUCUCACUCUCUAUCUGUAUACACACACACACACACACACACACAUAUAUAUAUAUAUAUAUAUACACACGCGGGGGAUGUUCUUUAAAGAUUCCUUCUGACCCACUUCCGGUUAUUCGAAGAAAUGGAACUUGUACAGGUAUAAGCAUAUACGUCUCUACAUGUCACAUUGUAAAUUGCAGCUUUCCACUAGUUUUUGUUUGUCUUUUAUGGCUGCUGAAAUGGACUAACGGAGGUAGUUGAAUGCAGAUCAGUAAUCAGUUUCUUAUACAUGAAAGGUCGUACACCAGAGACUUUCGAUGAGAUGAAAGAAGUUUAUGGUGACGAUGUACCAUCAUACAACGUAGUCAAGCACUGGCUUCACCAGUUUAAACGUGCUCGGACAUCGAUGGAAACUGCUCCUAUCCCUGGACGACCACGUUCUGCCAUUGAUGAGGACACCACCCAUAAAGUUGAAGCUGCCAUUUUGGAGGAUCGUCGCAUUCGACAACUAGCCCAAGAAGUGAAGAUAAGUGUAGGGUCUGUGGGAAAAAAACCAUUCACGACGAUUUGGCCAUGCGAAAGUUGUCUGCACGAUGGAUUCCCCGGAUGCUCACAUCUUUUCAGAAGCAGGAACAAGUCAAUUGCUCCCAGGUUCUUUUGGCAAUGUGCCGAGAAAAUGAGGAGGACUUUUCGGCAGACUUAUCACACAGGAUGAAACAUGGGUCCAUCACUAUGAUCCUGAAACUAAAGUCCAGUCGAUGCAACGGAAAUAUGUUAACUCACCACCUCCCAGGUAGGCUCGUGUCCAACCCUCAGCAGGAAGAUGAUACUCAGUCUUUUGGGACCAGCGUGGAGUAGUGAUGGUGGAUCAUCUGGCAAAGGGCACCACAAUCAACGGGGCAUAUUAUGCUUCUCUGCUGCAGAACUUGCAGGGCGCCAUCAAAGCAGAGAGGCACGGCAUGCUGACCAAAGGAGUCUGCCUCCUCUAAAGCACACACAGCGGCUAUGAAAUCCUUCCUCAUCCCUUUACUCUCCCAACCUUGCACCAUCAGGCUUCCACAUCUUUCCAACCAUGAAGUCUUUUUUGAAGGGGAAGCACUUUUCGGGUGAUGAAUUUAUUUCCAAGGUAACAGUCUUGGCUCCAAACGCAACUUACCAACUUCUACAGACGAAGUCUUCACAGCUGCAUAAAGCGAUAGGAGAAGUGUGUCACAACUGGUGGUAGCUCUGUAGAGAAGGACUGAUAAUUAUGCCAAAUUUUAUCCAUCCCAGUCCAUGAGAAGCGAAUCAAGGGAAAUCUUUAAUGAUCACUCCUCGUGUAUGUGUGUGUGUGUAUGUGUGUGUGUGUAUGUAUGUAUGUAUGUAUGUAUGUAUGUAUGUAUGUAUGUAUGUAUGUAUGUAUGUAUGUAUGUAUGUACGUACGUAUGUGUGCGUGUAUACACACGUGCAGCAUAAAUUGACACAAUUUACUCUGUAUAGCAGAUGUUGUUGAAUAUUCUGGUGAAACAUACCAAUGAGAAUUAAUUAUCAUUAUUUCACUAAUUCUGCGCUGUUACAAUGCAAUACACUGACUUUCUGUUUCUAUUGUUUAUCUCAUAAAAUAUCGACUAUUUGUCGCUACCUAAUAAUUUAGAUAAUUAGCAACUGAAUAUCGGGUUGAAUUGAUAAUCAAAAUGAUCAAUUUAUAUGUAUGGAAGAUCAAUAAUGACACCAAAACUCAAGGACCUCGAAACACGUUUUGUUUCCCGGCGGCAUGUCAAUGAAGAAUGCAGAAAUCUAUAGACUGAUAUAUUGUUUCCAUACGUUCGAGUGCAAUCGUAUCUUGAAUAAAUAAUCAUGCUGAUUUCGUUUGACUCAAAGACACAACAGAAUGGAUACUUACGCCAUGCAAUAUUGGGUGAAUAGACUGAUCAGGAUGAUCUGUACGACUGAUUUCAAGGGACAGGAAAAACUGGAGUUUGUGAUAUUUAUGCCUUUUCCUGGCUGUUAGUAAAGCAUCUCUGAACAAAACUUUGCGUUACAGGUUCGCUUUUCUAUUUGUGACCUCAGAUAUACAUACAUAAACAUGCGCGCAUGCAUGCACGUACAUCCCCCCACACCCGCACAUGUACAUGCACACACACACACACACACACACACACAAACACAAGCACGCACGCACACACAGACAACUAUGCACACACACACGUACACACACAAACACACACACACAUAAUACAUACAUACAUACAUACAUACAUACAUACAUACAUACAUACAUACAUACAUUCAUACAUACUGUCCGUAGCCUUCGAAAUCCUUCCUAGAGCGGUGAGACUGUCACCAUUAAUGUUUCUCUUGAAUCUUUAUUAGUCAAUACCUACUGAAAAGACCUUGUCAGGAAGGGAAUUCUCGAGGGCCGACAGCCUGAGAGGGAAGGAUUGGGCUUAGGGAUUAGUGCAGGUCUGGAUUGUGGGCGGAGAGACGAAUAAUACGGAAUAACUAGGUGGAGGUAAAAUUAGCCCGAUCAGCUCCAAGGAGCUGAGGCAAUUAGCAGUAGGAAAGUAAAGAGAUAUCGCUGAUGUGGACCAAAGACUGGGGCGUGUCAGUGAGUUAUUUUAUUCCAAUCAGUCAGGUGACUUUUCUAGAUGCGGUCUGUGUGCUGAGCAGAGAUAUCGUCCGGUAUGCGAAUUUUUUUCCCACGAGAGUUAGGGAUCCCAGUUAUGAGCUCAUUUGCAUGCAGCCAAUUUGAGCUCAACUAUCAAAUUAAUUUAUGUGCGCAUAACAAGUGAUGGGCGAUAAGAUAAGCUUACUUGGGUAAGGAAUGACCACGCAUCUUUUCUCUGUUAAUAAUGCUUGUUGUUCUUGCUCUUGUUUCAACCAUAGCUACCUCUGCGUAGUUAUUUGUGUUGUUUACUUUGUUAAACAGUAAAGGGAGAGGGUUGCUAGCACAUCACCCUCUACCCUCAUUUUACCACAUGGGGCCCUAACAAAACCCGAUAAUAAGUGUAAAUGCAAAUCUAUCUAAUUAUUGGGUUGGCGCAUAAUUAUUGAGGCUUUUUUUUUCAACAAAAACAAUAAUAACAUGUAACAAAAGCAUCUUUAAAUGAUUAUUCCAGAGCAUAUUCACCAUCUACUUCAGUUACUGUUUCCCAUUUGCUUGGCAGACGGUCAGACCGUCAUUUAAAGAUGUUUUUGUUAAAUAUUGUUAUUGUUUUUAUUGAAUAAAUUAUGCUGAAAAAAAGCUGCAAUAAUUAUGCACCAACCCAAUACUUGUCUCCUAAAAUCAAGCAUAACUUGGCGAUCGGUCGACUUACAAUACUGUUUUUCGUCGAGUUUACUUGGUAGAGUGUGUUUGUUAAUUUGACAAGUUCAAGGUGAGCUCUGAUUGGUUGUAUGCAAAUGAGUUCAUAACUGGGGUCCGGAACUCUCGUGAGAAAAAAUUCGUGUCCGGUAUGUGAGAACAAAGCUUCAUCACAGGCUUCACGUGAGCUUUGUAGAGCAUCAUUAAGAGAAGAGUCAGUCGUCAGGAUAUAGUUUUAGUUAUGUUAAAGAUGUGCUUCACCAGAGUUCUUUUGCGAAAGUGAGGCCUGACAUUUAAAAGGAUAUGAAUAGGAAACAUUAUGUAGCGGUAAGUCGAAACCCAAACCGCUAGGUAACCGGUCAGACACCACGGCUGGAUCACAGUGGUUUCACGUGAUCUAUCUGUUAAGCAACUAAUCAGUGUCAAAACAUUCUAGAAUCUUCUUCUUGUACUCUAUAAAAUACCUAAACUCUUUGUAGAAUGGUGAACAGCUGAGCGACAUACGUCUCCAUUCUUGCCAGGCAGACGGCUCACGCAGACGGCCUAGGACAAACAACCAAGAACCUCCGUCACCACGAAGAUUGCGUAGCUGAUUUCAGUUAUGUCAGGCCAACCGCAUGUUGCCGUUCCAAUAGCUUUCUGUACUUUCAGAGUAGUGUCUUUCUCCUAGUCUGUAAUUAUUUCUGUUUUUAACUGUAAAUGGCCAACGCGUUGUUCAGUUACUUUUUCACGCGGACAAGAAACAUAUUUUCAACUACUCAUUCAACCACGGCACAGUAAACAACCAGUCGUCAUAGCGACAUUGGUGACACAGCCAGCUACAACCCGCGGCAAUUCAAAUAUAAAAACAGGAACUUACGUAAAGUGCACAUUCUAUUAAUUUCAGAAACUAUUUUUCAUCAAUUAUUGUUGCACUUUUAGAAAUUGUUUCAGAAUCAUUAGCCGUCAUUGUUGUAGGAAUGGAGUACUAGACAAUGCCGCAGAGUUCGACUUUGUUUUUCAUCUAAAAUUAGUCGAUAAAAUAGAUACAAAUAAAGAACUGAUGUUGAUUAAAUCGAUUAUAUCUCUCCUGAUGUCAAAAUAAGAAAUCAUUAUUGUGACUACUAUCGCGGAGAAAAAUAUACGAUUCUGGCCAGUCGAAAUUGCGACAUCGUUUCAAAUCCUGAUUGAAAGCCUUUUCACUUCAUUGAUGCUGCUAAUAUUCUUUCAGAUGGGCAUGAACACUACAACCUCACUUUGCCUUCUAUAAAAUAUGAAGACUUUAGGACCCUCCAGACCAAGAGAAAAAUACAUCACAUUUUUAGUUUGAGAUAGCAGGGUAUCGGGCAAAGUGCAUUAGAAUUAGUUUUGUUGUCAGUAACCAACUGCAAUUGUCUCUGUAACAACUUCCAUUUCUUACAUAAAUCAUCAUCAUCAUCAUCAUCAUCACCAUCAUCAUCAUCAUCAUCAUCAUCAUCAUCAUCAUCAUCAUCAUCAUCAUCUUUAUAUUUAUUUAUUUAUUUAUUUAUUCAUUCAUUCAUUCAUUUCAGUUCCAUUAUCCAUCAUUGUAUCCUGUAAAAACCGCGACGACCUUGCUGGUAGAACGAGCCAAUAAAGGUGACCUUAGAAUGGUCGAAAAUAUUAGCAUGGAAUCUCGGAAAACUCUAUGAUAGCGUUAAUACACACGCACACACACAAACACACACACACACAUACACCAGC